CCGGCGACGGUGAGGUAACGCGUAUGCAACUUACCUAUCAGGAGGGGAGUAACCGGACGAAGUCGGACUAAUACCGCAUGAAGCAGGGGCCCCGCAUGGGAUAUUUGCUAAAGAUUCAUCGCUGAUAGAUAGGCAUGCGUUCCAUUAGGCAGUUGGCGGGGUAACGGCCCACCAAGCCGACGAUGGAUAGGGGUUCUGAGAGGAAGGUCCCCCACAUUGGUACUGAGACACGGACCAA
rnacentral:rRNA from 1 species